GGGAAUAUUGGACAAUGGGCGCAAGCCUGAUCCAGCCAUGCCGCGUGUGUGAAGAAGGCCUUCGGGUUGUAAAGCACUUUUGUUGGGGAAGAAAAGCACUGGGUUAAUACCCCGGUGUCAUGACGGUACCCAAAGAAUAAGCACCGGCUAACUUCGUGCCAGCAGCCGCGGUAAUACGUAGGGAGCAAGCGUUGUUCGGAUUUACUGGGCGUAAAGGGCGCGUAGGCGGCGCGGUAAGUCACUUGUGAAAUCUCUGAGCUUAACUCAGAACGGCCAAGUGAUACUGCAGUGCUAGAGUGCAGAAAGGGCAAUCGGAAUUCUUGGUGUAGCGGUGAAAUGCGUAGAUAUCAAGAGGAACACCUGAGGCGAAGGCGGGUUGCUAGGCUGACACUGACGCUGAGGCGCGAAAGCCAGGGGAGCAAA
rnacentral:rRNA from 1 species